GACGAACGCUGGCGGCGUGCCUAAUACAUGCAAGUAGAACGCUGAAGGAGGAGCUUACUUCUCUGGAUGAGUUGCGAACGGGUGAGUAACGCGUAGGUAACCUGCCUGGUAGCGGGGGAUAACUAUUGGAAACGAUAGCUAAUACCGCAUAAGAGUAGAUGUUGCAUGACAUUUACUUAAAAGGUGCAAUUGCACCACUACCAGAUGGACCUGCGUUGUAUUAGCUAGUUGGUGGGGUAACGGCUUACCAAGGCGACGAUACAUAGCCGACCUGAGAGGGGGAUCGGCCACACUGGGACUGAGACACGGCCCAGACUCCUACGGGAGGCAGCAGUAGGGAAUCUUCGGCAAUGGACGGAAGUCUGACCGAGCAACGCCGCGUGAGUGAAGAAGGUUUUCGGAUCGUAAAGCUCUGUUGUAGGAGAAGAACGAGUGUGAGAGUGGAAAGUUCACACUGUGACGGUAUCUUACCAGAAAGGGACGGCUAACUACGUGCCAGCAGCCGCCGCGG
rnacentral:rRNA from 1 species